rnacentral:rRNA from 1 species
AACGAACGCUGGCGGCAGGCCUAACACAUGCAAGUCGAACGCCGUAGCAAUACGGAGUGGCAGACGGGUGAGUAACACGUGGGAACGUACCCUUCGGUUCGGAAUAACUCAGGGAAACUUGAGCUAAAACCGGAUACGUCCGAGAGGAGAAAGAUUUAUCGCCGAGGGAUCGGCCCGCGUCUGAUUAGCUUGUUGGUGAGGUAGCGGCUCACCAAGGCGACGAUCAGUAGCUGGUCNGAGAGGAUGAUCAGCCACAUUGGGACUGAGACACGGCCCAAACUCCUACGGGAGGCAGCAGUGGGGAAUAUUGGACAAUGGGCGCAAGCCUGAUCCAGCCAUGCCGCGUGAGUGAUGAAGGCCCUAGGGUUGUAAAGCUCUUUUACCCGGGAAGAUAAUGAC